GACGAACGCUGGCGGCGUGCUUAACACAUGCAAGUCGAACGGAAAGGCCCUGCUUUUGUGGGGUGCACGAGUGGCGAACGGGUGAGUAACACGUGAGUAACCUGCCCUUGACUUUGGGAUAACUUCAGGAAACUGGGGCUAAUACCGGAUAGGAGCUCCUGCUGCAUGGUGGGGGUUGGAAAGUUUCGGCGGUUGGGGAUGGACUCGCGGCUUAUCAGCUUGUUGGUGGGGUAGUGGCUUACCAAGGCUUUGACGGGUAGCCGGCCUGAGAGGGUGACCGGCAAAAUGGGGCAUGAGAUACGGCCCAGACCCCUCCGGGGGGGAGAGGGGGGGAAUAUUGCACAAGGGGCGGAAGCCGGAUGCAGCAACGCCGGGGGGGGGAGGACGGCCUUCGGGUUGUAAACCCUUUUCGCCUGUGACGAAGCGUGAGGGACGGUAAUGGGUAAAGAAGCACCGGCUAACUACGU
rnacentral:rRNA from 1 species